GUUGAACGCUGGCGGCAGGCCUAACACAUGCAAGUCGAACGGUAACAGGAAGCAGCUUGCUGCUUCGCUGACGAGUGGCGGACGGGUGAGUAAUGUCUGGGAAACUGCCUGAUGGAGGGGGAUAACUACUGGAAACGGUAGCUAAUACCGCAUAACGUCGCAAGACCAAAGAGGGGGACCUUCGGGCCUCUUGCCAUCGGAUGUGCCCAGAUGGGAUUAGCUAGUAGGUGGGGUAACGGCUCACCUAGGCGACGAUCCCUAGCUGGUCUGAGAGGAUGACCAGCCACACUGGAACUGAGACACGGUCCAGACUCCUACGGGAGGCAGCAGUGGGGAAUAUUGCACAAUGGGCGCAAGCCUGAUGCAGCCAUGCCGCGUGUAUGAAGAAGGCCUUCGGGUUGUAAAGUACUUUCAGCGGGGAGGAAGGCAAUAAGGUUAAUAACCUUGUCGAUUGACGUUACCCGCAGAAGAAGCACCGGCUAACUCCGUGCCAGCCGCCGCGGUAA
rnacentral:rRNA from 1 species